GACGAACGCUGGCGGCGUGCUUAACACAUGCAAGUCGAACGAUGAAGCCUUUCGGGGUGGAUUAGUGGCGAACGGGUGAGUAACACGUGGGUAAUCUGCCCUGCACUCUGGGAUAAGCCCGGGAAACUGGGUCUAAUACCGGAUAUGACUUUCUUACGCAUGUAGGAAGGGUGGAAAGUUCCGGCGGUGCAGGAUGAACCCGCGGCCUAUCAGCUUGUUGGUGGGGUAA
rnacentral:rRNA from 1 species